rnacentral:rRNA from 1 species
AGUCAACCUAACCUAUGGACGGGGAUAACCUCGGGAAACUGAGAAUAAUACCCGAUAGAGCAUUAUGCCUGGAACGGUUAAUGGUUAAAAUGAUUUAUCGCCAUAGGAUGGGACUGCGGCCUAUCAGCUUGUUGGUGUGGUAAUGGCUCACCAAGGCUAUAACAGGUACGGGCUCUGAGAGGAGAGGCCCGGAGAUGGGUACUGAGACAAGGACCCAGGCCCUAUGGGGCGCAGCAGGCGUGAAAACUUUGCAAUGUGCGAAAGCACGACAAGGUUAAUCCGAGUGUUUCCUGCUAAAGGAAUCUUUUGUUAGUCGUAAAUCCACUAAUGAAUAAGGGGUGGGCAAGUUCUGGUGUCAGCCGCCGCGGUAAAACCAGCACCUCAAGUGGUCAGGAUGAUUAUUGGGCCUAAAGCAUCCGUAGCCGGUUGUGUAAGUUUUCGGUUAAAUCCAUAUGCUCAACAUAUGGGCUGCCGAAAAUACUGCACAGCUAGGGAGUGGGAGAGGUAGACGGUACUCGGUAGGAAGGGGUAAAAUCCUUUGAUCUAUUGAUGACCACCUGAGGCGAAGGCGGUCUACCAGAACACGUUCGACGGUGAGGGAUGAAAGCUGGGGGAGCAAACCGGAUUAGAUACCCGGGUAGUCCCAGCUGUAAACGAUGCAGACUCGGUGAUGGACUGGCUUCGAGCCAGUCCAGUGCCGCAGGGAAGCCGUUAAGCCUGCCGCCUGGGGGAGUACGGUUGCAAGACUGAAACUUAAAGGAAUUGGCGGGGGAGCACCGCAAGGGGUGAAGCCUGCGGUUC